rnacentral:rRNA from 1 species
GCUCGUGUCGUGAGAUGUUGGGUUAAGUCCGCAACGAGCGCAACCCCUAUUGUAGUUGCCAUCAUUCAGUUGGGCACUCUAGCGAGACUGCCGGUAAUAAACCGGAGGAAGGUGGGGAUGACGUCAAAUCAUCAUGCCCCUUAUGACCUGGGCUACACACGUGCUACAAUGGUUGGUACAACGAGUUGCGAGUCGGUGACGGCGAGCUAAUCUCUUAAAGCCAAUCUCAGUUCGGAUUGUAGGCUGCAACUCGUCUACAUGAAGUCGGAAUCGCUAGUAAUCGCGGAUCAGCACGCCGCGGUGAAUACGUUCCCGGGCCUU